CGUCGACCGGCGCACGGGUGAGUAACGCGUAUCCAACCUUCCCAUUACUGUGGGAUAACCUGCCGAAAGGCAGACUAAUACCGCAUAGUCUUCGAUGACGGCAUCAGAUUUGAAGUAAAGAUUUAUCGGUAAUGGAUGGGGAUGCGUCUGAUUAGCUUGUUGGCGGGGUAACGGCCCACCAAGGCAACGAUCAGUACGGGUUCUGUGAGGAAGGUCCCCCACAUUGGAACUGAGACACGGUCCAAACUCCUACGGGAGGCAGCAGUGAGGAAUAUUGGUCAAUGGACGGAAGUCUGAACCAGCCAAGUAGCGUGCAGGAUGACGGCCCUAUGGGUUGUAAACUGCUUUUGUAUGGGGAUAAAGUUAGGGACGUGUCCCUAUUUGCAGGUACCAUACGAAUAAGGACCGGCUAAUUCCGUGCCAGCAGCCGCGGUAAUACGGAAGGUCCAGGCGUUAUCCGGAUUUAUUGGGUUUAAAGGGAGCGUAGGCUGGAGAUUAAGUGUGUUGUGAAAUGUAGACGCUCAACGUCUGAAUUGCAGCGCAUACUGGUUUCCUUGAGUACGCACAACGUUGGCGGAAUUCGUCGUGUAGCGGUGAAAUGCUUAGAUAUGACGAAGAACUCCGAUUGCGAAGGCAGCUGACGGGAGCGCAACUGACGCUUAAGCUCGAAGGUGCGGGUAUCAAACAGGAUUAGAUACCCUGGUAGUCCGCACAGUAAACGAUGGAUGCCCGCUGUUGGUACCUG
rnacentral:rRNA from 1 species